rnacentral:rRNA from 1 species
UACGGGGGGAGCAAGCGUUGUUCGGAUUUCCUGGGCGUAAAGGGCGCGUAGGCGGCCACCGCAAGUCGACUGUGAAAUCUCCGGGCUUAACCCGGAAAGGUCAGCCGAUACUGCGGGGCUAGAGUGCAGAAGGGGCAACUGGAAUUCUCGGUGUAGCGGUGAAAGGCGUAGAUAUCGAGAGGAACACCUGCGGCGAAGACGGGUCUCUGGGCAAUUCCUGACGCUGAGGCGCGAAAGCGUGGGAAGCAAACGGG